rnacentral:rRNA from 2 species
CAGGGAUUGCCCUAGUAACGGCGAGUGAAGCGGCAACAGCUCAAAUUUGAAAUCUGGCUCUCGGGCCCGAGUUGUAAUUUGUAGAGGAUACUUUUGAUGCGGUGCCUUCCGAGUUUCCUGGAACGGGACGCCAUAGAGGGUGAGAGCCCCGUCUGGUUGGAUGCCAAAUCUCUGUAAAGUUCCUUCAACGAGUCGAGUAGUUUGGGAAUGCUGCUCUAAAUGGGAGGUAUAUGUCUUCUAAAGCUAAAUACCGGCCAGAGACCGAUAGCGCACAAGUAGAGUGAUCGAAAGAUGAAAAGCACUUUGAAAAGAGAGUUAAAAAGUACGUGAAAUUGUUGAAAGGGAAGCGUUUAUGACCAGACUUGGGCUUGGUUAAUCAUCUGGGGUUCUCCCCAGUGCACUUUUCCAGUCCAGGCCAGCAUCAGUUUUCCCCGGGGGAUAAAGGCGGCGGGAAUGUGGCUCUCUUCGGGGAGUGUUAUAGCCCACCGUGUAAUACCCUGGGGGGGACUGAGGUUCGCGCAUCUGCAAGGAUGCUGGCGUAAUGGUCAUCAACGACCCGUCUUGAAACACGGACCAAGGAGUCGUCUUCGUAUGCGAGUGUUCGGGUGUCAAACCCCUACGCGUAAUGAAAGUGAACGCAGGUGAGAGCUUCGGCGCAUCAUCGACCGAUCCUGAUGUUCUCGGAUGGAUUUGAGUAAGAGCAUACGGGGCCGGACCCGAAAGAAGGUGAACUAUGCCUGUAUAGGGUGAAGCCAGAGGAAACUCUGGUGGAGGCUCGCAGCGGUUCUGACGUGCAAAUCGAUCGUCAAAUAUGGGCAUGGGGGCGAAAGACUAAUCG